CAAGCGUUGUAGGGGGACCAGUGUUGCUGGUUGAGAUUGUAUCCGUAAGAUACUGACUCUUAGAACCUGAUCUGGGUAAAACCAGCGUAGGGAACAUGUCGAUAUACAAA
rfam:Virgibacillus pantothenticus strain DSM 26 super13, whole genome shotgun sequence.